UUUCUUGAAAAAAAAUUGUAAUUAAACUUAAAUUUAAUCCUUAUUUUGUAUUGUAGCUAUUUUUCAUAACAGCAACUAAAAAUCCUGUAAAAAUUUCAUAGCAUCAUUAGACACAGUGGUCAUACAAAUUAUUUCAUAAACAUGGGCUUGUAACAUUCUGAAGAAUUAGGCUUUUUAUAAAACAUCAGCACAUAUCAUGACAGAGAUGUAUGUCUAGGCACUGUAUUUUGACUCCAAGCAAAAUAUCACUUGCUACUGAAUUGUGCCAAUUAACAUAGUACCAAUAAUAAUCCUUUUUACCCUUUGACUUCUUGGAAACAUCUGUGUUAUUUUGGGCACAGAACUUAUUGCUCCAAACGAAUCUUUCACAAAACCCUCUAUAUAUAAAAUUAUGAAAAUGUGACCCUGGUCUGAGGGUGGCAUGGAAAUAAACAUGAGGAGCCCAUUCCCCUAACCUCUACCCCCAACUCAGUAUCUGGGUCAUCCCUUAAGAAAUCUUAGGAAGUCUGGAGUUUGAAAACAACUGCUCUAGGUUAUUCCUGAUUUCAAUCUGUAAGCAAAAAGGGUGUUUAAAAGCAUAAUAUCUUAGGGUCCACUGCAGUGGAUUUUUAUUUAAGAAAGAGCUCAUACAGCUCAGUGAUAAAUUGAUGCCAAGGAAUCUUUUCAAUGAUGAUGAAAAUACCAUGUUAUAUUUUUAUAGUUAGAAAUUUUAGAAAGUACUUUUUAUAAUGCAUUUUAUUGUUUGUUUUUCAUGAAGUUAUACUUUCAGAUCAAUAAAUUAAGUUUCAUAAAUUCUUCAGCAAGUAGAUCUCUAUUGCAGAAAUUAUGGAAAAAUUCCCCAAAUGGUGGCAUUCGCUAAUGUAUUUUAUAUGGUUAUUUUUGAAAAAAUCUGAAUCUAAGGUUUCUUUGUGGAAAAUUUUAAGUUAUUUCAGCAAUUCACCAAGAAUGCCCAAAGAGUCCCUAAAGUGUAGCUUAUUUAGCUAAUGUGGGCUUAUUAUGUAAUAGGCAGACUUCUGUCUUGAUUACUUUUCUUUGGAUCAUUUAAAAUACUCCAUCCCAAAGCCUAUCCAAAAGACCAAGAAACAAAGCUUUUCUCCUGGUGCCCAUUCUGAUUUGCACUAGUUUUUCAGUGCUCAAGUACCACAAAAUUAUGAUUGUUUUAAUUCAUACUUGAGAGAGAAAAAUAUAUAAGAUCCACACCUGACACAUUUCCAAAUCCAUUUCACUCAAUUUUCUUCAACUAUAUGUGAUUACAAGAAAAGUAUUUUUCAAGAUACUUAAAAAGUAGUAGAAGAAAAAGAAGUAUUUUUAUGACAUUCAAAAUCCAGUUAAGUUUACUGAGGGCAGAGGUGGGGGAGAAUUUCAGAAGGUGGUGAAGCCAAAGGUGCAUCCUCACAUACUUAUAUUCUCUACUCUUAUAACUUCUUACUUAACCCAUCUGUUCACUGCACCAGCCACAAUGCUAAGCAUAGUUUUAUCAUGAUGAUAUAGAUAGAUGUCAAAUUGUUGGCUUUUAAAGGAGAUUAGAAAUAAUUUCCUUCAUGUUAACCUGCCAUAUCCAUGCUCUUCCUUGAAUUACCUUCUAGUAUUCACUGGGCUUUACCUACCAUUUAUGUCUAGCUUAACUUUUUCUGAUCAAUUGCUGCUAAGGAACAUGCUGGUCACUCAGCAACGUAACCCAAAUCACAGGGGAAGAUCUUGAAAUAUCUGGAGACUGACCUGCUCUGAAUAUAUUCAAUCCAAAGAAGUACCAAAGAACCACAUCUGCUUGCUGAGAUCUUGAGUUUUUGUCAGCUUUUUCACUGUGGACAAUAAAGCUGGAGAGAAAAGAACUAAAUAACUCAACAAGAAAUGCACAUAAAAGUGCAAGAGUUGAUUUGUGCUCAUCUGGAACCCACAUCUCCCAGGCUUCCUGGACCUACUAAACGUUGCAACUUGUCAAUUGUUUGGGUGAUACAACUGUCAGAAGGCCUAGAAGAAUACAGUGUUGCUGUGACUCAGUGGUGUUUAAUGCAGACCAUCUACCUUGGGGGAGGAGUCAGUUCUAACAGGAACAAGGGGAUUCAUCCCUCAUUUUAACUGAUGUUACAGUGAAGAUGGGUUUUUGAACUCUUGGACAGCAGAAGCCACUCAAUUAGCAAGAUUAAAACCAAGGACUAAUGCACAUUGGGGGAAAGAAUGCUUAGUACUUGAAGAUUGAAAGAUGAAUACCUACUAGAUGUUCCUUUGGAGGUUUUUCUUAAACAAACUUCAAUGACAUUUUAGGACGGUUCACUGGAGAAACAUUGAUCUUCGGGUGGAGUAUCUUACCAUUGGCCCAUCUGAAGAGUUAAAUCUGGAUUUGACUGCUCUGUUCUACCUGGAAUAUUGUUAGGCUAGCUUUUAACCAAUUCCUAAACAGUUGUAAUUGUUAAUUGACCCAGAAAUUCCUCAAAUAUCAGAUUAAAAAAUGAACAGAUAAUUCUUAUCUAGAGCUUCACUGUUAUUAAAGACACUAGUUUUCUAAUAGUUUGACAGUGUAACUUAUGUUUCCUUUUUAGUUUGUUAGUGGUGAUGGUUUUCCUUUUGAAAGCCAUUUGAUAUAUUCAUCUUAAUCUGAUAAUUCACUGUAAUGAAGCAUAAGCAAACUAUGAUAAAAGAAAAACCAAUGAUUUUAGUA